GCUCAGAAGGAACGCUGGCAGCGUGCAUAACACAUGCAAGUCGAACGAUGAAGCAUUCUUCGGAAUGUGGAAGAGUGGCGAACGGGUGAGGAACACGUAAGAAUCUGCCCCUCGGUCGGGGACAACUCUUGGAAACGAGAGCUAAUACCCGAUACGCUGUGGAGUGAAAGAAUUUCGCCGAGGGAUGAUCUUGCGUCUGAUUAGCUAGUUGGUGUGGUAAUGGCACACCAAGGCGACGAUCAGUAGCUGGUCUGAGAGGAUGAACAGCCACAUUGGAACUGAGACACGGUCCAAACUCCUACGGGAGGCAGCAGUGGGGAAUUUUCCGCAAUGGACGAAAGUCUGACGGAGCGACGCUGCGUGAAGGAUGACGGCCUGCGGGUUGUAAACUUCUUUUCUCGAAGAAGAAGCUCUGACGGUAUUCGAGGAAUAAGCAUCGGCUAACUCCGUGCCAGCAGCCGCGGUAAUACGGAGGAUGCAAGUGUUAUUCGGAAUGAUUGGGCGUAAAGCGUCUGUAGGCUGUAUAGAAAGUCUUUUGUUAAAUGCCUCGGCUCAACCGAGAUCCAGCAAAGGAAACUUCUAUACUUGAGGGAAGUAGAGGUACAGGGAAUUCCCGGUGGAGCGGUGAAAUGCGUAGAUAUCGGGAGGAACACCAAUAUGGCGAAGGCACUGUACUGGGCUUUACCUGACGCUCAGAGACGAAAGCUAAAGGAGUGAUUAGGAUUAGAUACCCUAGUAAUUUUAGCCGUAAACGAUGGAAACUCACUGCCGAGCGAAAUACAACGAGCGGUGGUCAAGCUAACGCGUGAAGUUUCCCGCCUGGGGAUUACGCUUGCAAAAGUGAAACUCAAAGGAAUUGACG
rnacentral:rRNA from 1 species